GCAGUCGACACUCGUUCGUCGGUUAGCAGCGUACGCCUCAGCUAACGCGGUUUCAACCAUUCAACUCAAUGAUUUUAUACUGUUAAGACUUGCUUCUUCCUUCGAACCGAAUUCUUGUAUCAUUACGAACUCUCAUAUCGUCUGUUAAAUCUGCUUACGCGUACCGACACUGGCGAAAAUACUUUGAAUUCGAGAGUGCAGUGCAAAAUAUCAUCAUGAUCUGCUUUCGUGAGUGUUAUAUAAAAAAAAAAUUGUGUCUGAUGCUGAAAAUCCGAGCAAUCUGAGAGGAGGAGGAGGAGGCUUAAUAAAGGCAUUGAGCACCGGCGGAGCAACAUGCGAAUCAUCAAAGCGACGUAGAAUAACUCCACUGUUGCGCAUCGGUCGCGCGCAGCGGCAUUGGUGAGUCUCGGUCACUGGACUUGAGAGGAAGAGAAAGAGGAGGAAGAGCGGUAGAAGAGAAAGAAAGAGAUGAAAGAAAAGGUGCACAUAUCUGCCCAUAAAGAACGACAGGAUGACCCUUUCUCGAGUGCAUCGUCAAUUGCUCGGAUGUUCAGGAUGCGUUAUGUUCUUGGGCAGUUUAUGCAACAGGAGGACGAGAAUGAUCUUGUUCGAUCCUAGAUUGAACUUCUAUCGCCAUCAUUUCGAUCGUUUAUUUAUAAAUAGACCGGUUAUCGUGCAUUAUGAGUAAUAACGAUACACUGAGAAAAAAACCCACUAAAUUUUAAAAAGCAUUUGUUUGAAUAGUUGCAAUGAAAUAUUUACUUACAUACUCAAUAAAAAAAGUGAUGGUUAAAUUGAAAUUACUUGUUCCUGUGCUAAAUAAAUAUUUAGUUACAUUUAGUAAA
rnacentral:lncRNA from 13 species